CCUUCGGCCCCCUGGUGGCCGUGCGUCCUAGAGCUGUCCUGCCGCGUCCGAGACGCGCGCGGGACCCAGAAGUGGCCGAGGGACGUGGUUGUGUCGUGGAGGGGACCCGGGGUGCUGGCUGCUCCCUACGAUCUGGCACCCGCUCUGGGACUCCUCAGGCCUCGCUUUUCCCCAUCUGUAGAAUGAGCGGCUCGGUCUUUCCCGUCUUCAAUAUCCAGAGUAGGGAUUUAGAAGUCGGAGCGCACACGCUGGCCACGCCUCCGCGCACAGCUUCAGAUCUCUGCCACCCCUUAUCACUUGUGUGACCCUGAGUUCAGUUUCUUCAUCUGUACAGUGGGGACAAUGGGAGUACCUGCCUCCGGGGUUGUCUGGCACUUGGGUGCUUAGUAAGCGGAAGCUUGGACCCGUGUGGCAAAUAGAAGACUUUUGCUAAGACAUUGCUAAGAAAGACAGCAAAUGGAAUCAGGGCUUCUCUGUAGGGUGAGAGGUAUUUAAGUGAGAAAACGGGAUCAGCUGCCUCUCAGAGCACUCAGUCCCCUUCCUGUCCCCCACCAUUAUCAGGCAGUAGGUGGCCCUCACCAUGCUCCCCAACCUGCUCCCCACUUUUUCUUUUUUCUUUCUUUUCUUUUCUUUUUUUCUUUUUUUUUUUUUUUUUUUUUUUUGAGACAGGGUCUCGCUCUGUCACCCAUGCUGGAGUGCAGUGGCGCUAUCACAGCUCACUGCAGCCUCCGCCUCCCAGGCUCAAGUGAUCCUCCCGCCUCAGCCUCCCAAGUAACUGGGAUCACAGAUGUUCGCCACCACUCCUGACUAAUUUUUCAACUUUUUGUAGAGACGGGGUCUCACUUUGUUGCCCAGGCUGGUCUCGAACUCCUGGGCCCAAGUGAUUCUCCCACGUUGGCCUCCCAAAGUGCUGGGAGGAGAUUCUGACCUGAGAGAGAAACUGUGCUGCAGCUUUUUAUUUCCCGAUGGUUCCAUUAGAGGUGGGAGCGUCUGGAACUAGCAGUGGCAACUUGGCAGUGGCCGGCAGGACUGAAUGGGGCCAACAGGCAUGAUUACCACACAGGAUGUUAGGCAAGGGGUUCCGGGAAGGCUGGGAACUGAGGGGAGCUGGGCCUCACCGUCACCAAGGCCAGAGGCCAUCCGGGCGCCCGCAGAGGGCUGCCAAGCCUCGGCAAGGAUUUAGGUCACACUGAGUGGGCCUGGCAGAGGGGGGAGCCAGGGAGCCAGGCACUCUCUGGGCUACCUCCACAGCUGGAAGUGAGCAGGAGGGCUUAGGGCAGGAGCGGGCCAGAGCAGACUCGAAUGAUGCCGGGACUCUUGGCCUAGAGCCCUUCCCAUGUUCUGUGGCCCUGAGUGUGUCAGGCACCCACAUAGCUCUGAAAACCAGGGCCCAGGAAGGCACAGAUAGAAGUGGGCAGGUGUCC
rnacentral:lncRNA from 10 species